UACAGAGACUGCGAGCGUUAUUCGGAUUCACUGGGCGUAAAGGGUGCGCAGGCGGCCGUGUGUGUGAGGCGUGAAAGACCGGGGCUUAACCCCGGAGUUGCACCUCAAACUACAUGGCUAGAGCAUUGGAGAGGGUAGCGGAAUUCACGGUGUAGCAGUGAAAUGCGUAGAUAUCGUGAGGAACACCAGAGGCGAAGGCGGCUACCUGGACAAUUGCUGACGCUCAGGCACGAAAGCGUGGGGAGCAAAAGGG
rnacentral:rRNA from 1 species